rnacentral:rRNA from 2 species
CCUGGCUCAGGAUGAACGCCGGCGGUGUGCCUAAUACAUGCAAGUCGAACGCGUUGGCCCAAUUGAUUGAUGGUGCUUGCACCUGAUUGAUUUUGGUYGCCAACGAGUGGCGGACGGGUGAGUAACACGUAGGUAACCUGCCCAGAAGCGGGGGACAACAUUUGGAAACAGAUGCUAAUACCGCAUAACARCGUUGUUCGCAUGAACAACGCUUAAAAGAUGGCUUCUCGCUAUCACUUCUGGAUGGACCUGCGGUGCAUUAGCUUGUUGGUGGGGUAAYGGCCUACCAAGGCGAUGAUGCAUAGCCGAGUUGAGAGACUGAUCGGCCACAAUGGGACUGAGACACGGCCCAUACUCCUACGGGAGGCAGCAGUAGGGAAUCUUCCACAAUGGGCGCAAGCCUGAUGGAGCAACACCGCGUGAGUGAAGAAGGGUUUCGGCUCGUAAAGCUCUGUUGUUAAAGAAGAACACGUAUGAGAGUAACUGUUCAUACGUUGACGGUAUUUAACCAGAAAGUCACGGCUAACUACGUGCCAGCAGCCGCGGUAAUACGUAGGUGGCAAGCGUUAUCCGGAUUUAUUGGGCGUAAAGAGAGUGCAGGCGGUUUUCUAAGUCUGAUGUGAAAGCCUUCGGCUUAACCGGAGAAGUGCAUCGGAAACUGGAUAACUUGAGUGCAGAAGAGGGUAGUGGAACUCCAUGUGUAGCGGUGGAAUGCGUAGAUAUAUGGAAGAACACCAGUGGCGAAGGCGGCUACCUGGUCUGCAACUGACGCUGAGACUCGAAAGCAUGGGUAGCGAACAGGAUUAGAUACCCUGGUAGUCCAUGCCGUAAACGAUGAGUGCUAGGUGUUGGAGGGUUUCCGCCCUUCAGUGCCGGAGCUAACGCAUUAAGCACUCCGCCUGGGGAGUACGACCGCAAGGUUGAAACUCAAAGGAAUUGACGGGGGCCCGCACAAGCGGUGGAGCAUGUGGUUUAAUUCGAAGCUACGCGAAGAACCUUACCAGGUCUUGACAUCUUGCGCCAACCCUAGAGAUAGGGCGUUUCCUUCGGGAACGCAAUGACAGGUGGUGCAUGGUCGUCGUCAGCUCGUGUCGUGAGAUGUUGGGUUAAGUCCCGCAACGAGCGCAACCCUUGUUACUAGUUGCCAGCAUUAAGUUGGGCACUCUAGUGAGACUGCCGGUGACAAACCGGAGGAAGGUGGGGACGACGUCAGAUCAUCAUGCCCCUUAUGACCUGGGCUACACACGUGCUACAAUGGACGGUACAACGAGUCGCGAACUCGCGAGGGCAAGCAAAUCUCUUAAAACCGUUCUCAGUUCGGACUGCAGGCUGCAACUCGCCUGCACGAAGUCGGAAUCGCUAGUAAUCGCGGAUCAGCAUGCCGCGGUGAAUACGUUCCCGGGCCUUGUACACACCGCCCGUCACACCAUGAGAGUUUGUAACACCCAAAGUCGGUGGGGUAACCUUUUAGGAGCCAGCCGCCUAAGGUGGGACAGAUGAUUAGGGUGAAGUCGUA